rnacentral:rRNA from 1 species
AGUGAACGCUGGCGGUAGGCCUAACACAUGCAAGUCGAACGGCAGCACAGUAAGAGCUUGCUCUUACGGGUGGCGAGUGGCGGACGGGUGAGGAAUACAUCGGAAUCUACUUUUUCGUGGGGGAUAACGUAGGGAAACUUACGCUAAUACCGCAUACGACCUACGGGUGAAAGCAGGGGAUCUUCGCACCUUGCGCGAUUGAAUGAGCCGAUGUCGGAUUAGCUAGUUGGCGGGGUAAAGGCCCACCAAGGCGACGAUCCGUAGCUGGUCUGAGAGGAUGAUCAGCCACACUGGAACUGAGACACGGUCCAGACUCCUACGGGAGGCAGCAGUGGGGAAUAUUGGGCAAUGGGCGCAAGCCUGAUCCAGCCAUACCGCGUGGGUGAAGAAGGCCUUCGGGUUGUAAAGCCCUUUUGUUGGGAAAGAAAAGCAGCAGGUUAAUACCCCGCUGUUCUGACGGUACCCAAAGAAUAAGCACCGGCUAACUUCGUG